rnacentral:rRNA from 1 species
UACCUGCAGCUCGAGUGGUAACCGUUAUUAUUGGGCCUAAAGCGUCCGUAGCCGGUUUGGUAAAUAUCUGGGUAAAUCGUGAGGCUUAACUUCACGAAUUUCGGAUAGACUGCCAGACUUGGGAUCGGGGGGGGUCAGAGGUACUCCAGGGGUAGCGGUGAAAUGUUGUAAUCCUUGGAGGACCACCGGUAGCGAAGGCGUCUGACUAGAACGAGUCCGACGGUGAGGGACGAAGCCCUGGGGCGCAAACCGGAUUAGAUACCCGGGUAGUCCAGGGUGUAAACGAUGUGGGCUUUGUAUUGGAGGUCCCACGUGGGCGUCCAGUGCAGAAGAGAAGUUGUUAAGCCCACCGCCUGGGAAGUACGGUCGCAAGGCUGAAACUUAAAGGAAUUGGCGGGGGAGCACAGCAACGGGAGGAGCGUGCGGUUU